rnacentral:rRNA from 1 species
CAAUAGCGUAUAUUUAAGUUGUUGCAGUUAAAAAGCUCGUAGUCGGAUUUUGGCUGAGAACGAACGGUCCGCCGUUAGGUGUGCACUGUUUGGUCUCAGCUUCCUGGUGAGGAGGUGUGCUUCACGGCCACUUAGUCACCGUGGUUACUUUGAAAAAAUUAGAGUGUUCAAAGCGGGCUUACGCUUGAAUAUAUUAGCAUGGAAUAACACCAUAGGACUCCUGUCCUAUUUCGUUGGUCUUGGGACGGGAGUAAUGAUUAAGAGGAACAGUUGGGGGCAUUCGUAUUUCAUUGUCAGAGGUGAAAUUCUUGGAUUUAUGAAAGACGAACUUCUGCGAAAGCAUUUGCCAAGGAUGUUUUCAUUGA